UGGGGAAUAUUGCACAAUGGGCGAAAGCCUGAUGCAGCAACGCCGCGUGAGUGAUGAAGGUCUUCGGAUUGUAAAGCUCUGUCUUUUGGGACGAUAAUGACGGUACCAAAGGAGGAAGCCACGGCUAACUACGUGCCAGCAGCCGCGGUAAUACGUAGGUGGCGAGCGUUGUCCGGAUUUACUGGGCGUAAAGGGUGCGUAGGCGGAUGUUUAAGUGAGAUGUGAAAUACCCGGGCUUAACUUGGGUGCUGCAUUUCAAACUGGAUAUCUAGAGUGCAGGAGAGGAGAAUGGAAUUCCUAGUGUAGCGGUGAAAUGCGUAGAGAUUAGGAAGAACACCAGUGGCGAAGGCGAUUCUCUGGACUGUAACUGACGCUGAGGCACGAAAGCGUGGGUAGCAAACAGGAUUAGAUACCCUGGUAGUCCACGCCGUAAAACGAUGAGUACUAGGUGUAGGAGGUAUCGACCCCUUCUGUGCCGCAGUAAACACAUUAAGUACUCCGCCUGGGAAGUACGAUCGCAAGAUUAAAAC
rnacentral:rRNA from 1 species